ACGCACGCUGGCGGCGUGCUUAACCCCUGCAAGUCGCACGGAAAGGCCCUGCUUUUGUGGGGUGCUCGAGUGGCGAACGGGUGAGUAACACGUGAGUAACCUGCCCUUGACUUUGGGAUAACUUCAGGAAACUGGGGCUAAUACCGGAUAGGAGCUCCUGCUGCAUGGUGGGGGUUGGAAAGUUUCGGCGGUUGGGGAUGGACUCGCGGCUUAUCAGCUUGUUGGUGGGGUAGUGGCUUACCAAGGCUUUGACGGGUAGCCGGCCUGAGAGGGCGACCGGCCACAUUGGGACUGAGAUACGGCCCAGACUCCUACGGGAGGCAGCAGUGGGGAAUAUUGCACAAUGGGCGGAAGCCUGAUGCAGCAACGCCGCGUGCGGGAUGACGGCCUUCGGGUUGUAAACCGCUUUCGCCUGUGACGAAGCGUGAGUGACGGUAAUGGGUAAAGAAGCACCGGCUAACUACGUG
rnacentral:rRNA from 1 species